GCAGCACGAAGCUGAAAGCUUUUCCAAGGAGGAGAGGAACGAAACACCCCCAACCCUUACGGUAACUUUCUAACUCCCGUAACUUCUCCGUUCGAGCUCCGAUCGUCACACUGUUUGCGGCCACACGUUCACCGCGUCGAGCUCUAUGUUUCUGCUGGAAAAAUUUCAUAGGAUCCAAUUAGCUUGAGAAAAACGUUCACUCUUGCUUAUGUGAAGCUUGGGUUGUGAAUAAAUAAUUGGAGCUUGAAAUUGUGAAUACUGGAACUUGGAGGAAGCUGAUUAGUUGAGGUUUUGAAGGCUGUGUUCUUUAGGAAAAAUUAUCUUGGAAUAAUACUUGGGAAUCAGCUAAGGUAUGGUUUAGGUUUCUUGCAUUUAAUAUAUAAUGUUCUGUAAAAACUUAGGCUAGAUAACCAUAGGAU